UUAAAGAGUUCUAUAACUCCCAAACCCAUGUGAACAUACCUAACGUUGCCUCGGCAGGUCGCACCUACCUUGUAGCACCCUACCCUGUAGGGCCUACCCGGGAGGUGCGGGUAAGCCUGCCGGCGGCCCACCAAACUCUGUUUGAUAUUGAAUUCUGAACCUAUAACUAAAUAAGUUAAAACUUUCAACAACGGAUCUCUUGGUUCUGGCAUCGAUGAAGAACGCAGCGAAAUGCGAUAAGUAAUGUGAAUUGCAGAAUUCAGUGAAUCAUCGAAUCUUUGAACGCAUAUUGCGCCCAUUAGUAUUCUAGUGGGCAGGACCGUUCGAGCGUCAUUUCAACCCUUAAGCCUUCGUUGCUUAGUGUUGGGAGCCUACGGCAACGUAGCUCCUCAAAGUUAGUGGCGGAGUUGGUUCACACUCUAGACGUAGUAAUUUUUUAUCUCGCCUAUUAGUUGGACUAAUCCCCUGCCGUAAAACCCCCAAUUUAUCAAGGUUGACCUCGAAUCGGUUCAGACAAACUCGCUAAAUUGAAGCAUCUUAGUCAGCGAAGGAAAAGAAACCAACAGGGAUUGCCCUAGUAACGGCGAGUGAAGCGGCAACAGCUCAAAUUU
rnacentral:rRNA from 1 species